rnacentral:rRNA from 1 species
GACGAACGCUAGCGGGAUGCCUUACACAUGCAAGUCGAACGGAGUGGUGAACGGGUGAGUAAUGUAUCGGAACGUGCCCAGUAGCGGGGGAUAACUACGCGAAAGAGUAGCUAAUACCGCAUACUAUUGGAGCGGCCGAUAUCGGAUUAGCUAGAUGGGGGGGUAACGGCUCACCAAGGAGACGAUGCGUAGCUGGUCUGAGAGGACGAUCGGCCACACUGGGACUGAGACACGGCCCAGACUCCUACGGGAGGCAGCAGUAGGGAAUCUUCGGCAAUGGACGAAACCCUGAUCCAGCAAUGCCGCGUGUGGGAAGAAGGCCUUCGGAUUGUAAAACACUGUUGGCAGGGAAGCGGUACCUAAAGAAUAAGCAACGGCUAACUACGUGCCAGCAGCCGCGGUAAUUC